ACCUGCGGAGGGAUCAUUACUGAGUUUACGCUCUACAACCCUUUGUGAACAUACCUAUAACUGUUGCUUCGGCGGGUAGGGUCUCCGUGACCCUCCCGGCCUCCCGCCCCCGGGCGGGUCGGCGCCCGCCGGAGGAUAACCAAACUCUGAUUUAACGACGUUUCUUCUGAGUGGUACAAGCAAAUAAUCAAAACUUUUAACAACGGAUCUCUUGGUUCUGGCAUCGAUGAAGAACGCAGCGAAAUGCGAUAAGUAAUGUGAAUUGCAGAAUUCAGUGAAUCAUCGAAUCUUUGAACGCACAUUGCGCCCGCCAGCAUUCUGGCGGGCAUGCCUGUUCGAGCGUCAUUUCAACCCUCAAGCUCUGCUUGGUGUUGGGGCCCUACAGCUGAUGUAGGCCCUCAAAGGUAGUGGCGGACCCUCCCGGAGCCUCCUUUGCGUAGUAACUUUACGUCUCGCACUGGGAUCCGGAGGGACUCUUGCCGUAAAACCCCCAAUUCUCCAAAGGUUGACCUCGGAUCAGGUAGGAAUACCCGCUGAACUUAAGCAUAUCAAUAG
rnacentral:rRNA from 1 species